AGCAGCCGCGGUAAUUCCAGCUCCAAUAGCGUAUAUUAAAGUUGUUGCAGUUAAAAAGCUCGUAGUUGAAUUUCGGGAUCAAAUUGUUGGUCGUGCCUCGGUACGCACUGGUAUUAUUGGUUCCUACCUUCUGAAGAACCGCGAUGUCAUUAAUUUGGUGUCGUGGGGAAUCAGGACUGUUACUUUGAAAAAAUUAGAGUGUUUAAAGCAGGCUUACGCUUGAAUACAUUAGCAUGGAAUAAUGAAAUAGGACGUUUGAUUCUAUUUUGUUGGUUUCUAGGAUUGACGUAAUGAUUAAUAGGGAUAGUUGGGGGCAUUAGUAUUCAAUUGUCAGAGGUGAAAUUCUUGGAUUUAUUGAAGACUAACUACUGCGAAAGCAUUUGCCAAGGAUGUUUUCAUUAAUCAAGAACGAAAGUUAGGGGAUCGAAGACGAUCAGAUACCGUCGUAGUCUUAACCAUAAACUAUGCCGACUAGGGAUCGGAUGAUGUUAAUUUUUAAUGACUCAUUCGGCGCCUUACG
rnacentral:rRNA from 1 species